CCCUUGGUGGUUCAGGGGCUAGGACUCUGCACUCCCAAAGCAGGGGCCCAGGUUCAAUCCCUGGUCAGGGAA
rfam:Ovis aries breed Texel chromosome 12, whole genome shotgun sequence.